CUGCUGCCUCCCGUAGGAGUCUGGUCCGUGUCUCAGUACCAGUGUGGGGGGCCUUCCUCUCAGAACCCCUACGCAUCGUCGCCUCGGUGGGCCGUUACCCCGCCGACCUAGCUAAUGCGCCGCAUGCCCAUCCGUGGCCGGGAUUGCUCCCUUUGGCGGCCUUGGGAUGCCCCAAGGCCGCGUUACGCGGUAUUAGACGGGUUUCCCCCGCUUAUCCCCCUGCCACGGGCAGGUUGCCAUACGUGUUACUCACCCGUGCGCCGGUCGCCGGCAACGG
rnacentral:rRNA from 1 species